UACGGGGGGGGCAAGCGUUGUUCGGAAUUACUGGGCGUAAAGGGCUCGUAGGUGGCCAACUAAGUCGGACGUGAAAUCCCUCAGCUUAACUGGGGAACUGCGUCCGAUACUGGAUGGCUUGAGUUUGGGAGAGGGAUGCGGAAUUCCAGGUGUAGCGGUGAAAUGCGUAGAGAUGUGGAGGAACACCAAUGGCGAAGGCAGCCUUCUGGGCCAACACUGACGCUCAUGCACGAAAGCGUGGGGAGCAAACAGG
rnacentral:rRNA from 1 species